ACAGGUUGUUGGCAGAAAGAUGCAGCUAACACUAAAACCCUUGCUUUUGAUGGAGUAUCCAUUACUCUUUACACAGUUGCAUUAGAGAAAUCUCAAUUGGUGCUUCGUGAUCAUGUUAAGAAGGCUGUUCCAUCAUCAUGGGAACCUUCAGCAUUAGCAAAGUUUAUUGAAAUGUUUGGCACCCAUAUUAUUGUUGGUGUGAAGAUGGGUGGGAAGGACGUCAUAUAUGUGAAACAGCAGCAUUCAUCAGUUCUUCAACCAGCUGAUCUACAGAAGACACUAAAGGAGAUGGCUGAUAAGAGGUUUUCAGAUACCAGUGGACAGUACAGCAUGGCUUCUGAACAAGUUUACCAGAAUAAAAAGUUGGAAAUUAGGGAGCAGCGGCUGAGGUUUGCUGAUACUAGUUCCUCAAGUUCUUAUUCUCACAAGGAGGAUAU
rnacentral:misc_RNA from 1 species